rnacentral:misc_RNA from 1 species
CUGAUUUUACACCUCACUCAAGGAAAACAAAAAGGGGGAACUCCUAAAGACAUAAACCCAAAACAAAAAACCCUUUAGCACAAAAUCUUGUAAACUUCUAUCUCUAGACCUUCAAAACAAGCAACUCCAGUUAGCCCUACAAAAGGAUAUCCAAUUCUUUAACACCUCAACUUCAUAUAGCUAUAGAAGUAUGCAAAAUUCAUGAUUCAAAUUCUACACCAAAGUUUCACCUAAUGUAACACCCUUGCUUGCCAAUAUGCUCCUAGCCACCAAUCCCGCUGUUUGACUGUCUUUUACCAACACCAUAACUGCCAACAUAACUAGCAGAAUUUUUAGGUGGCAUGUCUGAGGGUGCAUUGCCGAGUCCAUAACCAAUUGAACCAGAUCCAUCUCGCUCAGAAUUUGCCGAGCGCCAAGUGGAAUCACUAUAUCCCAAACCACCACUGUAAAAAUCAGCUAAAGGACCAUCAUAGCUACCAUUAGAUGCAGGAUAUGAUGAGGUAGGAGCCCCACUUGAUGUAACAUUUCUUCCAUAGCCUCCAGUCAACCCAUAUAAACUAUCAUCACCCCCAUAACCAAGAUUUCCACUUUGGUUAGAAACAUUUCCUCUACCUUGAGGGGAAAUUGAAGAUGAACCCCAAACUCCAGUGUUGCUAAAGUUUCCUGCCCCUGUGUUCCCAUUUCGAGCUACUGCAAAGGUGCUAGAGCUUGUGGAGUUCGUUCCAUAACCCAAACCCCCACUUCCCCACAAAUUCCGAGUUGCUGAGCUGAAGAAUGAACUACUUCCUCCAUUUACUCCAUCAAACCCAAUAGGACCACCAACUCUGUUUGAACUAUUAACAUAAUAAGGGUUCAGUCCCCGUCCAUAGCUCAAGUUGCUGUUAAAGUUUGCACUUCCCCCAUAUCCUGGGCUUAACCCUGGUUCAAAGUUAAGCCCCAUUCCAUAACCAGAACCAAAUGGAGCAAAACCACUCCUACCUCCAGCAAUGGGGCUAAAUCUACCAUCCAUCCUGACUCCAUAUCCUGCAACUGUAUUCGGAGAGUAUCCUUGUGUGUAUCCAUUAAGGAAGUUAUUGAUCCUACUUAAUGGAUGGUUGAACCCGCCAAGUCUUGGACCUGGUGAUAACUCUUUGGGGACUGCACGUUUGACCUCGACCAUUUUACCAUUCAGUUCAUGGAAGGGCUUAAGCAAUACUUUAUCCACUGCAUCCUCUGAAUCAUAAGUUAUGAACCCAAAGCCUCUUGGUCUCUGAGUGUUAUGGUCGUACAUAACUACUACAUCUGUGAUUGUUCCAAAUUGCUCAAAGUACUCCUUAAAGUCAGUCUCAGUUACUGUGGAUGCUAAACCUCCAACAAAUAUUUUUCUUGUACGUCCUGGACCAGGAGAACCCUGAAUGCUAGGACUGCUUCUACUUAUUGUGCUCUGGUCAUCCCUAGGAACAGCCUUCUUU